GGUCGGGUAGCAUAGUUGGUUAUUGCGCACGACUGUUAAUCGUGAGGUCGAGGGUUCGAGUCCCUCCCUGACCG
rfam:Schizosaccharomyces pombe chromosome II, complete replicon